rnacentral:rRNA from 1 species
CAACAGCGUAUAUUAAAGUUGUUGCAGUUAAAACGCUCGUAGUCGGAUUUCGGGGCGGGCGGGCCGGUCUGCCGAUGGGUAUGCACUGGUCUGGCCGUCCUUCCUUCCGGAGACCGUGCGUGCUCUUAACUGAGUGCGCUCGGGAGACGGAUCGUUUACUUUGAAAAAAUCAGAGUGUUUCAAGCAGGCAGCUUGCUCUUGCAUGGAUUAGCAUGGGAUAAUGAAAUAGGACUUUGGUGCUAUUUUGUUGGUUUCGAACACCGAAGUAAUGAUUAACAGGGACAGUCAGGGGCACUCGUAUUCCGCCGAGAGAGGUGAAAUUCUCAGACCAGCGGAAGACGAACCACUGCGAAAGCAUUUGCCAGGGAUGUUUUCACUG